rnacentral:rRNA from 1 species
AUGAACGCUGGCGGCGUGCCUAAUACAUGCAAGUCGAGCGAACAGACGAGGAGCUUGCUCCUCUGACGUUAGCGGCGGACGGGUGAGUAACACGUGGAUAACCUACCUAUAAGACUGGGAUAACUUCGGGAAACCGGAGCUAAUACCGGAUAAUAUAUUUAACCGCAUGGUUCAAUAGUGAAAGACGGUUUUGCUGUCACUUAUAGAUGGAUCCGCGCCGCAUUAGCUAGUUGGUAAGGUAACGGCUUACCAAGGCAACGAUGCGUAGCCGACCUGAGAGGGUGAUCGGCCACACUGGAACUGAGACACGGUCCAGACUACUACGGGAGGCAGCAGUAGGGAAUCUUCCGCAAUGGGCGAAAGCUUGACGGAGCAACGCCGCGUGAGUGAUGAAGGUCUUCGGAUCGUAAAACUCUGUUAUUAGGGAAGAACAAAUGUGUAAGUAACUAUGCACGUCUUGACGGUACCUAAUCAGAAAGCCACGGCUAACUACGUG